rnacentral:rRNA from 1 species
GGGAUAGAAUUCCAGGAGUAGCGGUGAAAUGCGUAGAUAUCUGGAGGAAUACCAAAGGCGAAGGCAGUCCCCUGGUCCGAUACUGACACUGAGGUACGAAAGCGUGGGGAGCAAACAGGAUUAGAUACCCUGGUAGUCCACGCCCUAAACGAUGUCGAUUAGCCAUUGGAAGGACCCCUUUUCCUUUCAGUGACGUAGCUAACGCGUUAAAUCGACCGCCUGGGAAGUACGACCGCAAGGUUAAAACUCAAAGGAAUUGACGGGGACCUGAACAAGCGGUGAAUGAUGUGGAUUAAUUCGAUGCUACGCGAAGAACCUUACCUACCUUUGACAUGGCCAAAGUUCUACCGAGAGGCGGAAGUACUCGUAAGAGGAUUGGCGCACAGGUGCUGCAUGGUUGUCGUCAGUUCGUGUCGUGAGAUGUUGGGCUCAGUCCCGCAACGAACGCAACCCUUAUCUUUAAUUGCUCCUAUUUUAACAGGCACUUUAAAGAAACUGCCAAUGAUAAGUUGGAGGAAGGUGGGGAUCACGUCAAGUCCGCAUGGCCUUUAUAGGUAGGGCUUCACACGUCAUACAAUGGUUAGAACAAAGAGCUGCAAAUUCGUAAGAAGGAGCCAAUCUCACAAACCUAACCUCAGUUCGAAUUGCGGUCUGCAACUCGAGCGCAUGAAGCCGGAAUCGCUAGUAAUCGUGGAUCAGAAUGCCACGGUGAAUACGUUCUUAGGUCUU